GGAAGCGCCGUCACCCGGAGGGGCGUGUUGGAGAAGGUUUCGCGGGCCCAAGCGGGGGAGGGGGGACCGUUAAAGCGCUGCACCGCGCCCACAGGAAGCUGCUUUAAUGGUUAGGCCUACUCGGUACCAGGCUCUCGGCUGGGAAGGACCUUGAAGACCAUGCGGUUCAACUUCCAAUUUGCAGAUGUGGAAACUGAAGCCCAGAGAGGGUCCUUCCAGUUGUGGCAUAUGGGACGCUGCCUCAGCGUGGUUUGACGAGCAGUGCCAUGUCCGCGCCCAGGAUUCGAACCAAUGAAACACUGGGCCGCCUGCAGCGGAGCGCACGAACUUAACCACUCGGCCACAGGGCCAGCCCCUCAGUGCUAAUCGGGAUAAUUCUUCAGCCAUGAGCAGCUCAGAGGAGUGUCAUGUUUUUUGGAAUGGUGGCAGCUUCUACCAGGGCUGACCUAGGAGAUGCUGGGCCCAAGUCUGGCUGGAAGAAAUCACGGGGAGAGAAUGUCUUAGCAGUUCUGCUCCGGUGGGUUUGAGAAAGAGGCGGAAGACUGACCUUUUCUGAAGGCGGCGUUGGAGAGUCGGUGUGGCCUUGAGAAAUACACACGGCCAGAAAUGGUGUGAUCCUGCUCCAAACAGCUGGGCUCACCCUUGGGCUUCAUGAACCUCACACAGGAGGUUUCAACUGAAGUAAACUUAUGACCUUUCCAUCAGUUCCCUUGAUAGAGUCUGUGCACUCUGUGAUCACUGUAAGAAUGAAGGAUGAGCCCGCACUUCUUUCCACUCGUAAAGGCCACAGCAUUAGCUUCAUCCUACCACACCGCUUCACAUUCUUCCGACUUUCAAGAGCUCCACUGAUGGAAGAGGGAACUGACCCGUGAGGAAAGCAACAGUCAUCUCAUCCAUCCUCAUUCAUCUCAAAUAUGUUAAAUGUUUGGUACUUUUUCUUAUAAACUGUUUCUCUCCAUCAUCUUGUAUUCUAUGUUCUUGUCUUGAGACUUCUCCCAUUAAACCAUCAUUUAGUAUACUGUUUUCUUCGUCUCAACUUCUUCAGAAGUCUAAUAAGCACCAAGAAGAGAGUAUCCAUAAGAUUAGUAUUUCAACCCC
rnacentral:lncRNA from 1 species